AUUGAACGCUGGCGGCAUGCUUUACACAUGCAAGUCGAACGGUAACAGGCCGCAAGGUGCUGACGAGUGGCGAACGGGUGAGUAAUGCAUCGGAACGUGCCCAGUCGUGGGGGAUAACGCAGCGAAAGCUGCGCUAAUACCGCAUACGAUCUAUGGAUGAAAGCGGGGGACCGUAAGGCCUCGCGCGAUUGGAGCGGCCGAUGUCAGAUUAGGUAGUUGGUGGGGUAAAGGCUCACCAAGCCAACGAUCUGUAGCUGGUCUGAGAGGACGACCAGCCACACUGGGACUGAGACACGGCCCAGACUCCUACGGGAGGCAGCAGUGGGGAAUUUUGGACAAUGGGCGCAAGCCUGAUCCAGCAAUGCCGAGUGCAGGAAGAAGGCCUUCGGGUUGUAAACUGCUUUUGUACGGAACGAAACGGUCCGGGUUAAUACCCUGGGCUAAUGACGGUACCGUAAGAAUAAGCACCGGCUAACUACGUGCCAGCCGCCGCGGUAAUAC
rnacentral:rRNA from 1 species